UGUGGGUUUCCGGUUUCUUCUUAUAAAAACUUAGGUAGGGUAGGUCGGUUUUAACUUUUUUUUUUAAACUUUUUUUAAAUUUUCCGAAUAAGCGGACGCCAUUUUGUUUAGUCAGUGCUUCCACAUCCAAAGAUAAAUUUCCCUAAUAUUGCCUCAAAUUUCAAUUUUUCACAAACUUUUUCCUCUAAGUGGAAACACUUACAAGCAUGAUCCAACAAAAAAGUUUAGGGUCGGGAUUUCGACGUCCAAAAGCUAGGUAGGGUCGGGAAACCGGAAACCCACAUAUUAUUUUU